rnacentral:misc_RNA from 1 species
GAUGAAGAACGUAGCGAAAUGCGAUAAGUAAUGUGAAUUGCAGAAUUCAGUGAAUCAUCGAAUCUUUGAACGCACAUUGCGCCCGUCAGUAUUCUGGCGGGCAUGCCUGUUCGAGCGUCAUUACGCCCCUCAAGUCCCCUGUGGACUUGGUGUUGGGGAUCGGCGAGGCUGGUUUUCCAGCACAGCCGUCCCUUAAAUUAAUUGGCGGUCUCGCCGUGGCCCUCCUCUGCGCAGUAGUAAAACACUCGCAACAGGAGCCCGGCGCGGUCCACUGCCGUAAAACCCCCCAACUUUUUAUAGUUGACCUCGAAUCAGGUAGGACUACCCGCUGAACUUAGGCAUAUCAAUAAGCGGAGGA